ACCACUUUCAUUACAUCGCCACUGCGAAUACCACCUGUACUGUGUCAAGUACAAAAAAAACUCCAGACUUGGUUCUCCCCGGGGCCUGAAAGCUUAAGGGGAUGAAUAACUCCUCCCUCCUCAGGCCCAGUCCGGAGGCACAAGCCCACUUGCGCCAGCAGCGCGCCUCAGCAAGACAGCAGAAGCAGGAAGAGAGCCGGCCGGAAGACACUUACCCUGGCCGGAAGACAUGUACCCCUGAGGAUCGCGAGAGGCCAUCCGGUUGCUGCGUAGCAGUCCCGUCAGACUGGAACACUUCCUGUUUACAGGACACUGUAAAACCCCUGCUCAGCACUCAUUUGGUGCUGACGCCAUUUUAGGUCUCAUACCGUCUGCACCCAGGCGCCCAAUAAAACAGCAUGUUGCUCCACACCACCUUGUGUUGUUUGUUGGCGCGCUCCCGGGGUUCAAACAGAUACAAGAACCUUUAAUCUGGUGCCGAAACCCAGGAGGGGCUCAGGUCUGUGUCCCCUGUGGGCCUACCCCUGCACCCCGGAGAGUAGGCCACAGCAGCCGGACAAAGGAAGCUCCUCAGUCUCCAAUCGCCUCUCUGUGCAUGCACAUCAGUCACUGAUCUUGCCUACCUGUAAGUUUCCCUGGAGCCCCAUUAACAGGGAAAAAUCCACACAGCUUCUCUUGGUUUCUCUGGCCCGAAAAUCCAACGUUGGUCCAAGAAGGCUCUGGCGUGUGCCAGGCACUCGCUGAUCAUCUGGUCUUAGGGGGUCGCCUCUAAGCCAUUUGAUCCCGUUCCAGGAACGAAAAAGGCAGCGGUGAUGACUGCUUCUUUUAUCGUCUCCCUCCAGCCAUGCAGGACGGUCUCCUUUUCCCUGUUCUCCUGAGCCUACCCUCUGUUAUGGGAAAUUCUCAGUCUUCCUUUCCAAAGGACAGCCCGCUAGGCUACCUCAUAAAAACCUGCAAACCUCAGGCCUCAGGCAAGAUAUCCGCCCUAAGCGCCUUGUCUUUUUUUCAAUUCAGUCUGGCCACAGUACCAACUAGAUAACGGGUCCAAAUGGCCCGCAAAUGGAACAUUCGACUUUACAGUUUUACCUGACUUAAGCAAUUAUUUCCGACGACUGGAGAAAUGGGGAGAGAUUCCUUAUGUCCUUCUGUCCAGGCCUUUUUGCACUCA
rnacentral:lncRNA from 1 species